CGUGUUCACUGUUGGCCUUGAUG
rnacentral:miRNA from 2 species